rnacentral:rRNA from 1 species
UACAGAGGGGGCAAGCGUUAUUCGGAAUUAUUGGGCGUAAAGGGCGCGUAGGCGGCUUUGCAGGAGGCGGGUGAAAUCCCUCGGCUUAACCGAGGAACUGCCUGCCAGACUGCAUGGCUUGAGACCGGGAGAGGUGAGUGGAAUUCCCAGUGUAGCGGUGAAAUGCGUAGAUAUUGGGAGGAACACCAGUGGCGAAGGCGGCUCACUGGACCGGUACUGACGCUGAGGCGCAAAAGCGUGGGGAGCAAACAGG